UGGGGAAUAUUGGACAAUGGGGGAAACCCUGAUCCAGCAACGCCGCGUGGGGGAUGAAGGUCUUCGGAUUGUAAACCCCUGUUGGGAGGGACGAAGGCUCGCGGGCGAACAGUCCGCGCGCUUGACGGUACCUCAAGAGGAAGCCCCGGCUAACUCUGUGCCAGCAGCCGCGGUAAUACAGAGGGGGCAAGCGUUAUUCGGAAUUAUUGGGCGUAAAGGGCGCGUAGGCGGCCGAGCAAGUCUUGGGUGAAAUCCCUCGGCUCAACCGAGGAACUGCCUUGGAAACUGCUUGGCUUGAGGCCGGGAGAGGGUGGUGGAAUUCCCAGUGUAGCGGUGAAAUGCGUAGAUAUUGGGAGGAACACCAGUGGCGAAGGCGGCCACCUGGACCGGUCCUGACGCUGAGGCGCGAAAGCGUGGGGAGCAAACAGG
rnacentral:rRNA from 1 species